CAGGGACCAGCAAAUCCGCUUUCUUCCAGUGUGCACAUGACUGAAUGUGCUUCUGUCCAUCAUCUGGGUCAUAUAUAGUUCAAUGCGAGCUGAGCAGACAGGGCUGCAAGGAAAUCUGGCGCGGUUCAAUACCUUGUCUAGCCUGGGUUCCAGUAUCUAUAUUUUUUAUUUUUAUUUUUUAACUGACAAACUCACUUCUCUACCGGGACAUGAUGCUGUGCUGGUUGGAAGUUCCAUUUCUACAGCAAGAAUCCUAUCUGGAAGCACAGAAGUUGUCCUUUAGCCACAGCAGCUUGAACUUUUUUGAUUGUUGUUGCUGCUUUCUCCCAUCACCCCCAUCCCCUUUGACAAAGAUCCAACUGUAAAAAGUCUUACGUAACAGUUCAGGACUACUUCGGUUCUUUUACUGGGAGAUUCAUCCAUACUGUGUUGCACGUUGUGAGAGUGUGUCCUGGUUUACCACCGCUAUAAGUAUACCAAGAGACCACAGAAGGACUAUGAAAACAUUUACAUCUCCAAGCUGGAGAAAUGUGGGUUUCAAUAUUUCAUGGUAUCUCUGGAAAAGAAAAGAGUUAAAACCUGGAAAAGAAUGUAUGAGCCUCCAUCAGUCUCAGUGCUCAAUAGCCCUCAGAACACAAGUGCAGGCUGAAGAAGGGCCACCAGGCCAGCCUUAAGAGGACUCCAUGGAACAUUCAACGCUGUCGGUGAGUUUGGGAUUUAAAAAAACCACCGACCGUUGACUGUACCUUGGGAUCCUUACAAACAACACUAUAUAUCCUGAAGUAAAGGAGUAGGCUAUCUGUUCGCACAUUACAUGAAAUCACCUUAAAACAGUCCUGCAGCCUGUCCCCCAAAGUGAAUUUUUUUUAAAGUCCCCCAUCUAUUUGAAUUACCCAUUGUUUCUUGUUUUUUGCUGUGUUUUGACUACAGAGUGAUUCAUUUUAACAAGGUUAAGAGAGCUCCAUGAUAGGACCUACUAUUAUAUUUAAUGCCCCCUAGAAAUACACAUCUGGUAAGAAAUAUGAUAUAUCAACAUCAAGAAGAAAUUUUUAAAAAUAAAUUUGGAAUAAAACCUAGUCAAAUAUUUUAUGCACAUUUCUUCCAUUUUCCCUCAAAAAUUUCCACUAUGGGCAAAGAUAUGAUUUAAUCAGCAAAACUGCUCAAAAUUGUCCAAUAUCUAUAUAGUACUUAUCACAUCCAAACUCCAAUUAGUUUAUGUGGUUAAGUUUUAACAGCUCACUAUGAGCUAUUGCCUCACUAUUUCCAUACCAACAUAUGCUUAUUAAAUGCUUCUUAAAUUCAAGCAAAAAGUUAGCUCUGGAAUCAGAUCCAGAAUGAAUCUUGGCUCAACCCUCUAACUAGAUGUGUGACUGAGCAAGUAUCUAAAUCUAUUUUCUAAUGUACAAAAUGAAUAAGAGAACCUACCUCAUGAAGUUUUGAGAUUCAAAGAAAUAAUAUAUUUAAGUUGCUUUGAACCAUUCCUAGCACACAGCAAAUGCUUUAGAUAUGAACCCUAUUAUGUAACUCCAAACAUAAUCUGUGCUAAAUUACCUUGAAAAAAAUACUCAUAGCUCUAAGUGUGACACAGAAAGCAAAACAUAAGCAGGGUCCCUGAGCUCUGGUUUACAGUUACCAAUACAUACAGGUACCGCCUAUAUGGUCACAGAGCUACCUGUGAGGUUCUCUAGGAGCUCUUUCCUUCUCACAGUUUUUCCACCUUUAAGAAAUUACCCAGCUUUAUGUGAACUGGCAACCAUGCAGACAGCUGAUUACUAAGACAAAAACAGACUUCAAAGAACCAGUGUGGAAAAGAAGAGCUAGGAGUUGGGGAGGACAAAGGCAACUCCACAGACUGGAAACACUGAUGGCUGCACUCAACAUUCAUUGCUGUCGGUGGGUUUGAAUCUGAGCUGACUCACUGAUCAAUGAAUGCAAACUGCGGACCAAACAACCCAAAAAAACAAAACAUAGCGUCACCAGUGCAUAUCAGCUACUGCUCUGUGUGGGAUUUCAACACACUAAUUUAAGCCUCUCUUAUUUCUUUGGUUCUAAUACAGAGGAAGCUCUCUAGAUUCCUAGUACUAUUUUUCAGUGUUCUAGAUUUAAGGAAAUUAUAUGUAUGUGCAAACACAAACACACACACACACA